rnacentral:rRNA from 1 species
GAUGAACGCUGGCGGCGUGCCUAACACAUGCAAGUCGAGCGAUUCUCUUCGGAGAAGAGCGGCGGACGGGUGAGUAACGCGUGGGUAACCUGCCCUGUACACACGGAUAACAUACCGAAAGGUAUGCUAAUACGAGAUAAUAUACUUUUAUCGCAUGGUAGAAGUAUCAAAGCUCCGGCGGUACAGGAUGGACCCGCGUCUGAUUAGCUAGUUGGUAAGGUAACGGCUUACCAAGGCGACGAUCAGUAGCCGACCUGAGAGGGUGAUCGGCCACAUUGGAACUGAGACACGGUCCAAACUCCUACGGGAGGCAGCAGUGGGGAAUAUUGCACAAUGGGCGAAAGCCUGAUGCAGCAACGCCGCGUGAGCGAUGAAGGCCUCGGUCGUAAAGACUCUGUCCUC